GGUAACAUUGUGCUUGCACAGAUGACGACCGGCGCACGGGUGCGUAACGCGUAUGCAAUCUACCUUUUACAGUGGGAUAGCCCAGAGAAAUUUGGAUUAAUACCAUAUAGUUUAUUAGAGUGGCAUCACUUUAAUAAUAAAGAUUUAUCGGUAAAAGAUGAGCAUGCGUUCUAUUAGUUAGUUGGUGAGGUAACGGCUUACCAAGACAGCGAUAGAUAGGGGCCCUGAGAGGGGGAUCCCCCACACUGGUAGUGAGACACGGACCAGACUCCUACGGGAGGCAGCAGUGAGGAAUAUUGGACAAUGGGCGAGAGCCUGAUCCAGCCAUGCCGCGUGCAGGAAGACUGCCCUAUGGGUUGUAAAAUGCUUUUAUACAGGAAGAAACACUGCUACGUGUAGCAGCUUGACGGUACCGUAAGAAUAAGGAUCGGCUAACUCCGUGCCAGCAGCCGCGGUAAUACGGAGGAUCCAAGCGUUAUCCGGAAUCAUUGGGUUUAAAGGGUCCGUAGGUGGAUAAUUAAGUCAGGGGUGAAAUCUUGCAGCUCAACUGUAAAAUUGCCUUUGAUACUGGUUAUCUUGAGUUAUUAUGAAGUAGUUAGAAUAUGUAGUGUAGCGGUGAAAUGCAUAGAUAUUACAUAGAAUACCAAUUGCGAAGGCAGAUUACUAAUAAUCAACUGACACUGAUGAC
rnacentral:rRNA from 1 species